AGCUCAGUCGGUAGAGCAUGAGACUUUUAAUCUCAGGGUCGUGGGUUCGUGCCCCAC
rnacentral:tRNA from 1 species